UACGUAGGGUGCAAGCGUUAAUCGGAAUUACUGGGCGUAAAGCGUGCGCAGGCGGUGAUGUAAGUCAGAUGUGAAAUCCCCGGGCUCAACCUGGGAACUGCAUUUGUGACUGCAUCGCUGGAGUGCGGAAGAGGGGGAUGGAAUUCCGCGUGUAGCAGUGAAAUGCGUAGAUAUGCGGAGGAACACCGAUGGCGAAGGCAAUCCCCUGGGCCUGCACUGACGCUCAUGCGCGAAAGCGUGGGGAGCAAACAGG
rnacentral:rRNA from 1 species